UAUCUCUCUCCAGAAAAGAACGCCUUAUCUUAAUCCCCUUUCCUCGUCUCAACCCGGUGGUGGCGAAGAACCAGAUCGAGGGCCACAGCCGCCGCCGGUGUCGUAGCCCGGGGUGUCAAGGGAGAGGCGACGGACUGGAGGAACUAGGCGAGCCGGUCGGCGGGUAACCGGAGCAGCAGCGCCAUCGUCUCCUCCCCUCGUCUUUCUUCUAGCUGGAGCGGGGUCGGCCAGCUGCCGCAUCCUCGUCGAGGAAGGGGCCACGGAGCUCACGCCGGAGAGCGGCUUAGUGCUUAGGUAAGGCUUCAGCCGCGCCGUCGUGUGGUCUGCUGACACCAAGGGUUGGUCCAUCACCGUGAUUGGCCACCCGCCAUGGAUGUUCCUCUGCCUCGACCCUAGUGCCAUGGAACAAGUCAAGCACGCAUGGCAGCAGAUCGCUACAGCCAUCCUUCUCACCUGGGAAGGAGGAGAUCCAUCAGCAGCAGCCCAGGUUCGUCUCUCUUUUUCCUCAUCCCUGCUCACUUCCUCAACUCUCUGCUCAGGUUAUAUGUGUUGCUGCUAGAUCCUCAAGUGUGAGUUUAGCCUGCUAGAUGUGUAUACUAGUUUCAGUUUAUCUAGAAGAAGAGGGGAGUGAGGAGACCUGUUUCGUUCGUGUCUUGCUCAAUUAUGUACUAGUUUCUCCUCAAGUGUCCACAUGGGUUAGUUGGUUGGAUGGAUACAUAUAUCUAGCAAAAUGAACAUGAUUAAUUAUUGUCUACUGAUUAAGCCGAUUGAUGCAAGGUGUUCAUAUAUCUAUCUAUCUAUGUGUGACUACUUCUAGAAAAUGGAAUCAGUGUUUUUGCUUGGAGAUUGUACUGAUUUUUACGACCAGGAUUUUUUUUGUUUUUUUGCAUUCUAGCUGCCUCACUUUUUAGCAUGAGUUGCCUAGAGUUCCAAUUCCCCAACCCCCUUGCUUCUCCAUCUUCUCCAGCUUGUUCUAUCUAACCUGCUACGAACUCCUACAUGAUCUAGUCAAUUUUGGUCCUUUUUUAGUGCCUGCCACUAGUUGCUUCAAAUUUUUGCAUCAGUUGCUUGAAAUCACAGGCAAAGUUGUUGCAUUUUUUUUACUUUUGCACACGAGAUCAUGUGUUAUCAUUUUUGUUUAGAAGGAUCACGUUUGAGAGAACUUGGUGGGCAGAAUAAAUCAACAUAUACAAGUAUAAGUCUAUCAUAUGCUCUGCUCUGUCUCUUGAUUGAUGACAGCAUAAUUCAGUAGGAGUACCGUUUGUUCAUCCAAUUGAUAAUUCAUUCCUGAACUGCCACUGUUUUUGCAAGAUGAAUGAUGGGCUAGAUUCAGAGAUAAGUGGAUUUUGCCUACAUAUAGAAUUAGAUUGCCACUAUUUUUUUAUAAAAUGAAAUUAAUGUGCUCCAUGCAACUCAGGGGGUUUUGGUGUUGAUUUUGCAUGAGAUACAACUGAUUUCAAUGUCAUAAACUCAUUUUUUGUGCAACUUGUUGCUUCAAAGCAUGUGUAGUUGCUCAAGUUUAUAAUAUGGGUUGCCUGGAACUAAACGAAAGGUUGCUUUAAUUUUUACUAAAUCUAUAGGGCCUGGAAACAGGGGGGGGGGGUGCGGAUUUUGUACUCCACUGAGUGGCUUCUCUUGUGACGGCGUCACGCCUGAUAUGGGGAUCGAAGGGGGUUGGGCAGCAUUGGAUUUAGAAGGCACUUUCCACUCAAGGAUAGAAUGGUUACUUCGAUUUCGUUAAAAGAGUUGCAUUUUGUGUGUGUACCGCAGUUGCUUAGUUUUGUUGGGGCAGUUGCUCGGAUUCAUUUUUGUUGCAUUUUUGCCUCUUGUAAUGCAGUUGCUUGGUUUUCGUAGGACAGUUGCUUCCUUUUUACUAGAACAGUUUUGCAUUUUUGUGUUUUUUAAUCGAGUUGCUUGGAUUUUUGCUAGGCUAGAUGAGAAGUUGCAUGGGGAGGGGGGUCAGAUAGUUUUCCACAAAGGUUAUUCAAGUUUCUCACACGUUUUUUUCUCCCUAAAGUAGUAGAUAAUCUAAGUAGUAAUGCUAGGGACAGUUACCUGGUUUUGCUAGGACAAUUUCACACUUUUCUGUUUCGAGUUGCUUGGAUUGUUUGCUGUAAGUUUUUUAGAUUAUCAUCUCAGAUUUGAAUACGCAUACAGAUUGAGAAGAUACAUCUAUGAAGUAGUUCCUGAUGUCCUAUAACUGACGCGAUGAUUGAUUUGCAUGGCUAUCGUCCCGAUCCUCCUUCCGUCGACGCGCUCCGUGCGAAGCACACCACCGCCUAGGGCAGUUGCUUGAUUUUUCUAGGACAAUUGCUUGGUUUUGCUAGGGUAGUUGCUUGUUUUUCUUGCUAGAACAAUUUUUGCAUUUUGUGUCCUUUUGUAGUUGAGUUGUUUGGAUUUUUGCUAGAACCGAUGAGAAGUUAUAGUUGUCCACAAAGGUUAUUGAACUUACUCAUAUGUUUUUUUUGCCUAAAAUAGACAAUCUAUGUAGUAGUGCCAGGGACAUCUGCUUGUUUCUGCUACAACAGUUUCCCACUUUUUGCGUGUCUUUGUAAUUGAGUUGCUUUGAUCUUCUGCUACAACAUACGAGAAGGUGGAUGAGAGGGGAGUUGCUUGGUUUUGCUAGGACAUUCUUUUCAUAAAAGGUUAUUCAAGUUGCUCAUACAUUUUUUUCCUCUACCUAAAAUAGAUGCUAGGGGAGUUGUUUGGUUUUGCUAGGACAAUUGCUUGGUUUUGCUAGGGCAGUUGCUUGUUUUUUUGCUAGAACAAUUUUGCAUUUUUGUGUUUUUUAUAGAGUUACAAGCAAAAGGGCUGCUCAACCUGAUGCUUCACAGGGUGAAAUGCUGGAUCGACAUGAGGUACACAUGGUUUUUUCAGAUUUUUUUUGAUGAAACGAUGAAGAUGAAGAAGGAAAGCAACCGGAACGGGCGAAGAGAGGUGGAUAGGAAGUAAUUCUAAAAAAAAAUUGUAUUAGUAGAUUAAGUUGCAUCAGAAUAUAUAUGGAGCUUCUUGUGCAUAAAAAUGCCUGGAACACAUUUUUGCUUUUUUAAUAGUUGUCCAUGAAUCACACUAAAGUUGCCUAUGUUAGAGAAUAUAUAUGCAUUAAUGCCACCUAUAUA